rnacentral:rRNA from 1 species
GGGGGAGAAGGCGUAACAAGGUUGCCGUAGGGGAACCUGCGGCAGGAUCACCUCUA